rnacentral:rRNA from 1 species
CAAUAGCGUAUAUUUAAGUUGUUGCAGUUAAAAAGCUCGUAGUUGGAUUUCGGAUGGGAUUUGCCGGUCCGUCGUUACGAUGUGCACUGGCCAGUCCUAUCUUGUUGUCGGGGACUAGCUCCUUGGAUUCACUUCCUGGGACUAGGAGCUGACGAGGUUACUUUGAGUAAAUUAGAGUGUUCAAAGCAAGCCUACGCUCUGAAUACAUUAGCAUGGAAUAACACGAUAGGACUCUGGCUUAUCUUGUUGGUCUGUGUGACCAGAGUAAUGAUUAAGAGGGACAGUCGGGGACAUUCGUAUUUCAUUGUCAGAGGUGAAAUUCUUGGAUUUAUGAAAGACGAACUUCUGCGAAAGCAUUUGUCAAGGAUGUUUUCAUUAA